rnacentral:lncRNA from 1 species
AAAUAGUUGUUAUUGACGAUAGCAUUUAUCUUGUGUUGUUCAGCUUGUCCUGUUAAAAUAAUAUAUAACUCAAAGUGUAAGAUAAAUUAUACGAGCAAUAAUAUUUAAUAUAACAUGUAAAAAUAAUUAAAUGCUUAGAAGUAAUAGAAUCUUUUUUAACUUAACUGUUAAGCACAUAUACAUUUUUCUUUCACGCAUAGCACCAUGGUAGGAAGAAUACAUCGAUUGUAUGCACAAUCAAGGACAGAAGUACAAUUAACAGCUGUGAUAUAAAACAACAAAAAAAUCAUAUGAAUGAUAUAUAGAUGAUGAAAUUUUUUUGUAUAAGAUUAAAAAGAAAAUUUGAAAAUAUGAGAAAAUGGGCUUACUCCUUGCAUCAGUUACAACAAGAUAUAGGGAAAAAAAGAGGAUCAUAACAUAAUAAGCUAACAUGAGAAUUUUUUCCAUGUUUUUCCUUAUAUUCAUGUAACAAACUGAAAAUUAUUUUAUUAGUUUAUAUAAUUUACAAAAUCCCAUAAUUCAUUUGAAUAAAAU